GAAAUGCGAUACUUGGUGUGAAUUGCAGAAUCCCGUGAACCAUCGAGUCUUUGAACGCAAGUUGCGCCCGAAGCCAUUAGGCCGAGGGCACGCCUGCCUGGGUGUCACACAACGAUGU
rnacentral:misc_RNA from 1 species